CUUGGUCAUUUAGAGGAAGUAAAAGUCGUAACAAGGUUUCCGUAGGUGAGCCUGCGGAAGGAUCAUUCAUAAUAAGUGUUUUACUGCACUUUUUAAAAAUCAGUAUUCACCUUGUGUGCAAUGUUUGCUGACGAGUUCGCGUUUUUUACGCGUUCUUGGCAGCAUAAUACCAACCCUUUAUUGAAAUUUUUUGUCUGAAGAUUUUUGAAUACAUAAUUCGAAAUACAACUUUUAACAACGGAUCUCUUGGCUCUCGCAUCGAUGAAGAACGCAGCGAAAUGCGAUACGUAAUGUGAAUUGCAGAAUUCAGUGAAUCAUCGAAUCUUUGAACGCACAUUGCGCUCUCUGGUAUUCCGGAGAGCAUGCUUGUUUGAGUAUCAGUAAAACACCCUCAGUUCUCUCGUUUUUCGAGCGAAUUGGACUUGAGCGAUCCCAACGGCAGUUUAAAAACCGCUGGCGGGUUGCUUGAAAUGCAGGUGCGGCUGGACACAUCUUCUGAGCUAUAAGCAUUACUUAUUUAAUCCCGUCAAACGGAUUAUUUCUAUUGCUGCAGCUAACAUAAAGGUUGAUUGUCCUUGUGCCCGACUGAUGCAGGAAAACAAAGAGAAAUCUUUGUUCAACUCGAUCUCAAAUCAAGUAAGACUACCCGCUGAACUUAAGCAUAUCAAUAAGCGGAGGA
rnacentral:rRNA from 1 species